UUAAUUGAUUAUGACGUACUUGUACUGAUUGAGAUUUUAACACGAAGUGAGUGGCGAACGGGUGAGUAACACGUGGGUAACCUGCCCAGAAGUAGGGGAUAACACCUGGAAACAGAUGCUAAUACCGUAUAACAGAGAAAACCGCAUGGUUUUCUUUUAAAAGAUGGCUCUGCUAUCACUUCUGGAUGGACCCGCGGCGUAUUAGCUAGUUGGUGAGGUAAAGGCUCACCAAGGCAGUGAUACGUAGCCGACCUGAGAGGGUAAUCGGCCACAUUGGGACUGAGACACGGCCCAGACUCCUACGGGAGGCAGCAGUAGGGAAUCUUCCACAAUGGACGCAAGUCUGAUGGAGCAACGCCGCGUGAGUGAAGAAGGGUUUCGGCUCGUAAAGCUCUGUUGUUAAAGAAGAACGUGGGUAAGAGUAACUGUUUACCCAGUGACGGUAUUUAACCAGAAAGCCACGGCUAACUACGUGCCAGCAGCCGCGGUAAUAC
rnacentral:rRNA from 1 species